ACAGGUUGGACUCCAGCUGGUUUCCCGACCUAACUCGGAAAAAAGAGGCCUGCAAAAAAACUUGAAAGCUCAGCGACACAACAGCUGUGAGCUAAUGCGGGAGAGGGAAUCACCCACCCCCAGCGAGAAAGCGGCAAGACUUGGGAGCUCACAGCUCCCACUCUCAUGUCAACCUCUGCCUGGACCAGGAGGGAAUCA